UACGUAGGGUGCGAGCGUUGUCCGGAAUUAUUGGGCGUAAAGAGCUUGUAGGCGGUUUGUCGCGUCUGCUGUGAAAAUCCGGGGCUCAACCCCGGACUUGCAGUGGGUACGGGCAGACUAGAGUGUGGUAGGGGAGACUGGAAUUCCUGGUGUAGCGGUGGAAUGCGCAGAUAUCAGGAGGAACACCAAUAGCGAAGGCGGCUCGCUGGGACGUUACUGACACUGAGGCGCGAAAGCGUGGGGAGCGAACAGG
rnacentral:rRNA from 1 species